rnacentral:rRNA from 1 species
AGCGGAGGAAAAGAAACCAACAGGGAUUGCCUCAGUAGCGGCGAGUGAAGCGGCAAGAGCUCAGAUUUGAAAUCUCACCUAGUGUGCGAGUUGUAAAUUGCAGGUUGGAGUCUCGGGUUAGACGUGUGUGCAAGUCCCUUGGAACAGGGUGCCACUGAGGGUGAGAGCCCCGUAUCGUGCAUGUCGACACCUGUGAGGCCCUUCUGACGAGUCGAGUUGUUUGGGAAUGCAGCUCUAAGUGGGUGGUAAAUUCCAUCUAAGGCUAAAUAUUGGCGAGAGACCGAUAGCGAACAAGUACUGUGAAGGAAAGAUGAAAAGCACUUUGAAAAGAGAGUGAAACAGCACGUGAAAUUGUUGAAAGGGAAGGGUAUUGGGCUCGACAUGGGAUUUACGCAUCGUUGCCUCUCGUGGGCGGCGCUCUGGGUUUUUCCUGGGCCAGCAUCGGUUUUCGUUGCAGGAYAAGGACAAUUGGAAUGUGGCUCCUCGGAGUGUUAUAGCCUUUUGUAGAUGCUGCGUAUGGGGACCGAGGGCUGCGGCGGACUCGU